rnacentral:rRNA from 1 species
UACGGGGGGGGCAAGCGUUGUUCGGAAUUACUGGGCGUAAAGGGCUCGUAGGUGGCCAACUAAGUCAGACGUGAAAUCCCUCGGCUUAACCGGGGAACUGCGUCCGAUACUGGAUGGCUUGAGUUUGGGAGAGGGAUGCGGAAUUCCAGGUGUAGCGGUGAAAUGCGUAGAUAUCUGGAGGAACACCGGUGGCGAAGGCGGCAUCCUGGACCAAUACUGACGCUGAGGAGCGAAAGCCAGGGGAGCAAACGGG